rnacentral:misc_RNA from 1 species
CCGCCACGGCUGAACUGACCGUCAGCCGUCUUGGCGCGAUUAUGGUUAAUGAAUUCCUGAGAUUUUUUCACGAUCGCUACCACCGGAAUGCGGCUUUCCGCAUAUAUAUCCGGUGUUUGCGUCCGGUUUCUGCGAUGCUCACGGCAAUCUUGCCGCGCCAUGGCAUCAAUUCGAUAACCUUUACCCGAACUUAAUUGCACCGACGCUAGUGUUCAAAUGCGCGCUCAGAACGGGCCGCGCCGUAUCGUUGCGUCGGAGUUUGAAAUGGAUAUCGC